rnacentral:rRNA from 1 species
AUUGAACGCUGGCGGCAGGCCUAACACAUGCAAGUCGAGCGGAUGAAUUGAGCUGGCUCCUGGAUUCAUCUGCGGACGGGUGAGUAAUGCCUAGGAAUCUGCCUGGUAGUGGUGGAUAGCGUCCGGGAACGGGCGCUAAUACCGCAUACGUCCUGAGGGAGAAAGUGGUUGAUCUUCGGACCUCACGCUAUCAGAUGAGCCUAGGUCGGAUUAGCUAGUUGGUGGGGUAAAGGCCUACCAAGGCGACGAUCCGUAACUGUUCUGAGAGGAUGAUCAGUCACACUGGAACUGAGAACCGGUCAAGACUCCUACGGGAGGAAGCAGUGGGGAAUAUUGGAAAAUGGGCGAAAGCCUGCUCCAGACCUGCCGCGUGUGUGAAGAAGGUCUUCGGACUGUAAAGCACUUUAAGUUGGGAGGACGGGCAGUAAGUUAAUAACUUGCUGUUUUGACGUUACCAAAAGAAUAAGCACCGGCUAACUUCGUG